CCACCCUUAUAUCCCCCUCAUCUCUCAAACACUCCCAAGCCCCUCUGAAACCCUAGCCGCCUCCGGUCACUUUCUGACCUCUCUUCACCGGAGACCAUGGAUUUCCAGGCUUUAUGCUACCUGUACUCACCCUUCAAUCCCUUCUACGACCCUUUUGUUCGAGGAUUGAAACCCUAUUGUGAAGACCGCUGUGUCAGAGGUCCACUGACUUGAGUUCUACGACCAUAUCAGGUCUCUCUCUGGUGAGUCUUAAUGUUGAGAGUCCGUUAUCGAUUCAAAAGCAGUCCGUUCCAGGCUUUCUCGUUCGCUAG
rnacentral:lncRNA from 1 species